ensembl:lncRNA
AUGUGUGUACAUGUGUGCACACGCAUGUGUGCAGGUGUCUGUAUGCUAACAAGACCCGCCCAGCCGUGUGCACAGGGGCCGGUGACGUCACCCCCGGCUGUCACGGGAGCCGUCCCUUCCUACGUGGAGUUCCUCGGGCUCUGGGGAGCCCUUUCUGGACAAGCUCCGUCCGCACCAGUCCUGCGGCUGAGGCCUCCCAGGGUCGGCCAGGGCUGCAAGGCGUCUGUGGGAGGACAAGGCAGUCCGCGUCCUGACCCAGCUGUGCUUGGAGGCCCCCCAGCUCCCCCCGGCGGUGCAGGGCGUGUGUGGGGCGUGCAGGCCUGGGGCACACGUGCCCUUGUGCAUCUGCGUGUGCCCGUGUGCACCUCUGCGGGCACGCGCACACACCUGCGGGCUCCCGGCUGCGCACGGCGAAGGGCGGCGGGGCAAGCCUCCUCUAAGGGGGUCGGGGGCGGGGGCGUGUUUCGCAGCAGGGGGAGGAAAGGUAAGGUUCUCUCAGCGCGUUUAUUUCCAGAAGACAAACCGGAACCUGGACAUCUGUUGGUUCUAACAAGAGUUUGUUUGUUUUUAAUAAAGAAGAAAAAGGGGUUCCUUGGCUUUUUCCACAGAACAAAGCCACUGAUCGUCUCCGAGAUGGCCGUGGCUGCGGCUGGAUGACGCCACCGCCCGGGCCACUCCCUGGGCGCUCUUAGAAGUGCUUGUCCCCUCACGAAUCCCCCAGCAGCCUGGGAUGCCGCCAUCUUCCCUGAAUUACCGCACGGCAGAGGCUCGCCACGCCAGAGCUCGGUGUGUGCCCCGCUCGCGCCAGGUCAGUGGGAGACCUCUCGUCCCAAAGCAGUGUCUGCGUGCAACCUGGCCCCGACGCCAGCAGCACAGAGCCCGGGUGUCCACGGCACCGACGGCUCACGGCAGAGGUACCCAGCGGACAAAACCGGCGUCCCCGCAGCAGUGCCCACGCCUGCCGGCCGGAGGUGCUCCGAGCGUCUUGCCUCUCUGGUCUGGGGGCCGGCUUACGAGGGACAGCGGCUUCCGGAGGGCGGGCAGGCAGGCAGCCGGGCGGGCCCUGCUCCCUGUUUCCCCCCUGAGCCUGGAUCCACGGCAGGAGGGUCGGUGUCACCAGCGUCACAUGCCGGGAACGCAUGCAGCCAGCCAGCGUGCAGAUGCGUGAGUUCCCGGGCGAGACUGCAGGGGGCGCACAGCCCACGGCUGAGCAACGUGCAGGAAGGCUCAGCCUUCACGCGUGACACAGACCAGCGGCCACGGCGGGCGCGGCGGCUCCGCCCAGCCCCCGGCUCACUCUCCAGGUCCCGCAGGGCCAGCGAGGACCCCUGGGGUGGGUGGCACGGGGCCGAGGUGGGGACCGGCAGGGAGAGGCAACACCGGCGGUGUUUUCCACACCAGAAACAGCCCCUGCUCAUCGGGGGCUGCGGGCGGUCUACACAGACCUCAGCUCGGCCGGACUCUCGCGGUGGGACAGGGACCUCGGAGAGCCUCAGGCGCCGUCCCUCCUUAAGGCCUCAGCUCGGAGAGGAAGGUGGGGGCGCCCUCCCCUCCCCAGCUAGGCUCUUCCAGGGGCUGCUCACUGCUUGCGGUGCCGACCGUGGGCAGCCCCGUAAAGGCACUGUGCGAUGCCAUACACACCUUGGAAGGCCCUGGG